rnacentral:lncRNA from 1 species
CCACUAAGAAGAGCAAGACUAAUAAUAUAACCAGUAAGUCGGCUAUAAGACUCUUUGUAACAUUUUUUAAGCUUAUCCAUGUAGUAGGCAGUUCUUCAUCAUUAAUAUAUUCAUAUAGUUUCUUGGUUCUUGUGUGGAACUAAUUGUAAGCUUAUAAUCCGCUUCUCCUUUCUCUCCUCCCAUCUCUUAUCAGCCUCAGCAUUUGUU